GGUAGCGUGGCCGAGUGGUGUAAGGCGCUGGUUUUAAGCACCAGUCAUGAAAGUGGCAUGGGUUCGAAUCCCAUCGCUACCC